CAGCAGCCACGGUAAUACGAAGGGGGCUAGCGUUGUUCGGAAUUACUGGGCGUAAAGCGCACGUAGGCGGAUAUUUAAGUCAGGGGUGAAAUCCCAGAGCUCAACUCUGGAACUGCCUUUGAUACUGGGUAUCUUGAGUAUGGAAGAGGUAAGUGGAAUUCCGAGUGUAGAGGUGAAAUUCGUAGAUAUUCGGAGGAACACCAGUGGCGAAGGCGGCGACCUGGUCUUUAACUGACGCUGAGGCGCGAAAGCGUGGGGAGCAAACAGGAUUAGAUACCCGAGUAGUCCCUGUCUCUUAUAC
rnacentral:rRNA from 1 species